rnacentral:ncRNA from 1 species
UAAACGCCUGAAGCUCACCCUUAGAGGUCUUCGGAUCUCGUUGGUGGGUGGAACGCGUGACCCGAUCUGGUAGUAGUCAAGCAAUGGGGAGACGCAGGAAGGUAGCCUCCGCGUGGCGAUGGUUGUCCACGUCCAAGGGUGUAGGGAGUCAGGUAGGCAAAUCCGCCUGGCACGUAUCCUGAGACCUGAUAGUGACCGCUUAUAGCGGGAAGCAGGGUGAUCCUAUGCUGCCGAGAAAAUCCUCUAGCGAGGUUCUAGCCGCCCGUACCCCAAACCGACUCAGGUGGUUAAGUAGAGAAUACUAAGGCGAUCGAGUGAAUCGUGGUUAAGGAAUUCGGCAAAAUGCCCCCGUAACUUCGGGAGAAGGGGGGCCCGGAUUCUGAAGCCCCUUGCGGGCUAGGAAGAUGGGCCGCAGAGACCAGGGAGAAGCGACUGUUUACUAAAAACACAGGUCCGUGCGAAGUCGCAAGACGAUGUAUACGGACUGACGCCUGCCCGGUGCUGGAAGGUUAAGAGGACCGGUUAGCCCCUUGUGGGCGAAGCUGAGAAUUUAAGCCCCAGUAAACGGCGGUGGUAACUAUAACCAUCCUAAGGUAGCGAAAUUCCUUGUCGGGUAAGUUCCGACCUGCACGAAUGGCGUAACGACUUCUCCACUGUCUCAACCGCGAACUCGGCGAAAUUGCACUACGAGUAAAGAUGCUCGUUACGCGCAGCAGGACGGAAAGACCCCGGGACCUUCACUAUAGCUUGGUAUUGGUGAUCGGGACGGCUUGUGUAGGAUAGGUGGGA